rnacentral:rRNA from 1 species
CACGUAGGGCGCGAGCGUUGUCCGGAAUUACUGGGCGUAAAGAGCUCGUAGGUGGUUUGUCGCGUUGUUCGUGAAAUCUCACGGCUUAACUGUGAGCGUGCGGGCGAUACGGGCAAGCUAGAGUUCGGUAGGGGAGACUGGAAUUCCUGGUGUAGCGGUGAAAUGCGCAGAUAUCAGGAGGAACACCGGUGGCGAAGGCGGGUCUCUGGGCCGAUACUGACGCUGAGGAGCGAAAGCAUGGGGAGCGAACAGG